ACGUAAAAAUCUCACGAGAUAAACAAGAAGAAACCCGUUUAUUGCUAACUGCCAGUAACCUUUAGGAACAUAAUAAAAUGUACUCUUUUUAGUCCCGGUUUCGCCUGGAUCCAGUUCGUAGAGCCGACUGCAAAGGUCAUUGCUACUAUUAUUUGCAUUCUUGCAUAGGACCCGCGUGGGGUAUAAAAACCCCGUCAGUUCUACGAAUGGCAUCAUAUAUCCCUGGAUAUUCGAACUACUUGCAACAUGCACAAGCUGCUGAUCUUUUUCGCCCUGCUGGCUAUGGCGUUCGCGGCGCCCGCGCCCUCGCCACCGCUAGUGUACUCGGCCCCGCUGGGUUACCCGUCGCCGUACCAGGCUGGGGCGCCCGUGGUCUACAACUCCCCCUACCCCGCCUACUCGCCCGGCCUGUACCCAGCCGGCGCCCCCAUCACCUACACCAAGUACUUCUGAGGACUUCGACGACAUCACUUUUAAAUCAGGAAUAAUUCGAACAGUUUGAGAAAUUCGCAAUAAAUUACCGUUCCGCCUA